rnacentral:lncRNA from 1 species
CGGGUGGGUCUACAGGCCAGACAGCCUUCGGGCGGAUCUUCCAAGAUUUAACUUUAAGUAGUUGACAUGCCAAGUGAACAUUGACUAGAAUAGUAAACAAUGACAUUUUACUAUUGUUAAGGAUUUUGUAUUGGCAAGUUUCGUGAAGUGAGUCGGAGUCUUGAAGGAUCGAAGCGGAUUGACGAAGAUUGAAGAAUUCAAGAUUUCGAAGUUUUUGGAAAGUAG